rnacentral:lncRNA from 1 species
AGGAAAGCAUUUCUCGCCAUGUGGUUUUUGACGAGAAAUGUAAAGGCGACCGGUUAGAGGAUCUGAAAGAGAGAGUGUAGAAAAUUGAGCGAGGGAUCGAGUGGUGCGGGAACUCCGGAUACUGCUAAAUAGUGGUUUCAGUUCCACAGAAAGGAAUCAAUUGUUAAGAAAGCAUCUCUGGGCCUGGGCUUGGAUCAAGCAAGCUCAUAAUUUUCUUAUAUGCAGGGAGAGAUUGAAAAACUGCAGACGGAGCAUUUGAACGGUGGUAACCAUAAGCAGUUUCCCUUCAACACAAAAGAGGAAAAGCACGGCUCUUCCGCGCUGUAUGGGAUUUCAAAGGGGGAGGGGUAGGUAAAUGAGAAAGGUAGAGUAAGAUAUUUUCAUUCUAACAGAAUGAGCGGAUCCAAUACACAUAUUGUCUUUGACAUAAAAAAAGAAGGUUGUAAUAACGAAACAGACAUUUGAGAAUUUUGUCCUUGCCUUGCCAGUGGAACAAGAAAGACUAUAUAGAUUUUGAUAUGAAAUACACAAUCAAAGGAUUUCGCUUCCAUAGAAUGACGGAAUUCCCCUUGCUUAGUUUUCGCUCCGCUCGUGCGUGGCACUCCUUGCUUGCGGAGCGGCAUACCGAAAAAAAAAAGGGGGAGUUGGCGCCUGUUAUGUAGAAGUCAAUAUUCUCGCAAAUUGAAUUAUUUCUUUUUUUUUUUCUUCGCAAUAACUCGGGAUGUAAUCCCAUAGAGAUGAUUAAUUAGACUCCUGUAAAUUCAAUGGGAUGAAUUGCAUCCUGAUGAUACUGAAUCGGAUCAAUAUUAUGAAUAACAAUAUCUGAUCUAUCAAAUCGAUUCAUCGUCGAGAAUUGAAUAGUAUAACAUAGGAAGAUUCUUUAUCCAUACUAACUAUUAAAUAAAUGGGAUUUUUUUUUUUAUCAGGAAUCCAUUGCAUUUUUCAUCCUCUUCCACUUUUUCUUUUCUAUAACUACUGUCUGUCUUCCUUAUCUUAUACAAUUCUCCUUCCUUUUUAUAUACUUAUACAUACAAUGAUGAGGUAUUAUAUGACCGGUAUUCUAUGGGUCACACACAGACCCAAACGAAGUGAGAUGGAAAAAAGAAGGGAAACAAUAAAAAAGAUCUAAAUAUCCAACAAAUUUACUGAAAAGGGUCCUUGCUUGGUCUUUUCUUUUAUUAUAUUAGUAUCCUCUUUCUUUUAUUAUUUAUUGUACUGUCAUAAAAAAUGAUGUCUGCUAUUUGAAUGAGAAUGAGAUAGAUUGUUUCCAAUUAGUCAUUGAGGAUACACAAACAAAGUCAGAGCUAGAAAAAAGGUGUGGUUUAACCUGAAAAGUACUCUGUCGAGGUAAUUAUGUUAAGUUCAUUGUCUAUCGUACAAGCAAGAUAGAAUACUCUUUGUGUAUGUACUCCCGGUAAAAUAGGGUCACUCUACUCCAUUUCAUUGAUCAAGAACAAUCUAAAAAUUAAGUAAGACGAGGAUGGUAUCUCUUAAAAUACUUAUUGUAGUAAUACCACAUAUUAUACUAAUAUACAUAGGAUAUGUCUCUCCUUUAUCAAUCGGAGUAGUGGAAAAAAUGGAAAUUCCCGUACCCGUAUUUGUCUGAUGAUAAAUGCGAAAUAAAAAACAAAAGAAAAAUAAAGAUCCCACUCCACUGGGGAUUAGAUCUUGCUUCAUCUCUCCCUUUUCCGUGAAAAGAGAGAGAUGAAUUGAUAAAUUCACCGGAUCCUAGUUCGGGACUGACGGGCUCGAACCCGCAGCUUCCGCCUUGACAGGGCGUGCUCUGACCAAUUGAACUACAAUCCCAGCGAGGUGUAUGCAUACAUAUUCUUAAUGUAAUCAUAAGAACAUUAACGUCGUCGUAUUGUAAUAAAGACACGAAUGAUAUACUGAUAUCAUAUCCACAUAUAAUAUGGGCUAUAGUGAGAGUGACACGGAUUACUAGUAACCAAUAAUUAUUUUACUGCCCAAAAUGGAUAAUCAAUCUUUCUAUGAGAAAAAAUAACUAAACUAUUUUGCUUUUCAUGAUACUUUUCUUAAUGAAGUCUAGUAUCAUGAACUAGAUCCUUAGAAAGAUCUGAAGGAGAAAAAUAUGGAUGAGAAAAAAAUAAAAAUUUACUCUUCUCUUUAUUUCUACGGAUUAGGCAUUUCCGUUUAUGGAAGAAAAAUUGGUUAUAUCAUAUUCAUGGAGCGGUGAAUUAUUGGGCCGAGCUGGAUUUGAACCAGCGUAGACAUAUUUCCAACGAAAUUACAGUCCGUCCCCAUUAACCGCUCGGGCAUCGACCCAGGAAGAAUUCAUUCUAGGCUUAUUGAUAAUCUAUGAUAAACUUCCUUUCAUAGUACCCUACCCCAGGGGAAGUCGAAUCCCCGCUGCCUCCUUGAAAGAGAGAUGUCCUGAACCACUAGACAAUAGGGGCAUAUACGCCCGACCGUCAUCAUACUAUGAUUAUAGUAUGAGCAGUUUUUUUUAAUUGUCAAUAUAGUCUAAUGGUAUGACUAGAUCCUAAAAGUCUUUCCUACUUUGUUGUUAUGAUUUCAUAGAAUUUUUUUUUUUAUUUGAUGAUUCAUGAAUGAACCAUCCAUACUAUUUAUAACGAAAGGAGGUAUAGGAUUCCUUCAGUUCAGGCAGUGAUUUGAUUGGUCUGACAGAAAACAGAAAAAAGAGUCAAAUGUCAUUUAAUUUCUUUUCUUCAAUUUGAACUCAUUGCUUCAUUUAGUGUGAAGAUAAAUAUGCCUAUCACUAUCUCACACUAAGCCAGAAAAUACAAAAAGGAUAGAAAUUUGAUCUUUUAUUUUAUAAGAAUUCGUUCAGGGUACUAAUCCCCUCAUGACAUGAUUCAUGAAAAUAUCUUGAAUCUAUGUCGAUGUCGGAUUAGUACAUUUUUCAUGAAAGUGAAUGUUGUUCUGAGGGUCAGUAAAAGUAAAUAAGUGGGGUCUGUCUUGAAACAAUUUACUGCAUUAUUUUAUAUCAAAAUCUUUUUCGAAAAAGAAAAAUAAUAAUUUUACCUACUUUUGGAGUAAAUCCAAUUUCUUGUUCCUGAAGAAUUCCUAGGCAUAUAUAAAUAAAAAAAAAAUAUAUAUAUAUAUAUAUAAAUAUAUAUUUUAUAUUUCCAAUUCCUAUAAUUAAUCGACAAACCAAAGUUUUCUUAUUUCUCCAAUGUUCUUAUCAAACCCACUAUAAAAUUCUAAAUAAAGAAAAAGUAAGUGGACCCGACCCAUUGAAUGAUGACUAUAUCAGCUAUUCAGAUAUGGAAAUUCGAUAUAGAUGAAAUUUUACAAGCGGAUUUCUUUUUAUUUCCUUAGACCAUCAAGAAUUUGUCGAUAUUUACGAUUUCAUCUUCUUGUUACUGGAUGCUCCAUAGGAAUAAAUCGCUAUUUUUUUCUUCUACAAAGUUGAUUUCAAAAAAUAGAUUUUUCAAUAUCUUUCCUUGAUUUCAUAAUCUGAUAUUGUUUUUCUUCCGCCAAUUAAAUAGAGAACGAAUGCGAGAAAAGGACUUUCAUUUCCAGUCUACCAUUAUUUAAUAUUGAAUUUUGUGGCAGGAAAAAAUAGGAAAUUUUCUUUUAUUUUGGUUUGACCCGUUAAAAGAUAUACUCUUAAAUAUGAGUCAUAGGACAAUUCAGGAUUCAAAUGGUUAUAUAGUAUAAGGACUAAUCGAAUCGAGCUCAUGGAUUUACCAUUGAUUUACCUAGGUUGGUUUGUGGCCCAAUAGAAUAAAAAAAAGGCUUUCCUCGUCUUUUUCCCGCUUUCACCUUCGAUUGCGAGGGAUGAUCGGCCGGUUUUCAAUUCGCUUCUCUAUGCGGAGCUGCGCGUGGUGGGAAGGCCUUCGCGAUUCGCAUCUUCCCGUCCGGCAAAGAAAGUGAAGGGGAGAGUGUGGAGACGCUGCAGAACCGCUUGAUUGAUCAAUCAAGCUAUUCCCUAAUUGAAGCAAGUUGGAAAGCUUUCAGAGCCUCAGCUCGUUCUGAUGAAUCGCUCCUUUUUCUGAAAGCAUGGGAUAUUGUUAAUAAUGCAGUACAGAACAUCUAUGUUCCGGUGGGAAUGAAAUUCGAUUUCCGAUGGAUAACAAUCCAUCUUUCUCGCUUUCGCUCUUUCUCCAAUCAAUCGCGAGGGUUCCGGCAUGAGAACGCAAGUGCCGGAAUCGAACAAAACGUCCGAGGACGAAAGAGAAAAUGCUCCGCGGGGAACUCGUUUCAUGUCGGCCUAUUCGUGCCGCUUAGACGUCGGCCAUGAAAUCCAUCACUAUACCGAGCAGAUCACGGGCAUUCACAUCUCGGUCAAACGGAACUGUACGCGAUUCUCUCGUGAAUCGCCUUCCGCAAGGUAUGCCCCAUUUCGGAUUCCCGGGAAGAAUAUUUCUAUACAGACAUUCGUUGCUGGUCUCAAAAAGAUCUUAUCCCGUGGGCGUUAGCGGACGUUUUUCAUUUACGGUCUUUAGUAGCCUUUCCGAAGGUAACCGCCUUUGUUGACUUUAGAAAGGCGCUAAAACAGGCAGGCCAUAUGUUCUAUAGAAGAAGACUGUGUAUGUAUAUAAAUAGUUUGAGAAAAGAUCGUCUUCAGCAUGAAAAGAAUAACCUUUGUUUGGGAUAUAGAAUUCCUUUUUUUGAUGGUCAAAGACCCUUUCUUUUCCCGGACCGAUGACUCGGUUGUUCAGUACUGCUACAUAUUAUAGGAGGAUGCCGUCCCCCUUCAAUCCAGUAGCUUCGGUUGUUUAAUAUCGUGCAAGUUAGUUGUGGUUGUUGUAUUGGCUGCAAGCGGAAAGUAGCGCUGUAGGUGUGUUUGACCAUGCACUCUCGCGUCGUGUAAUGUCGUAUGUAUGAUAGAGGUGGUGUGGUGAUUGAUCUCCAUGCUAAUGGUUAUCCCCUUUGUUCAACGAAUGAAUGAAGCGUUGAUCAGGAUAGAGAUGAUGGUCUUCGUCUUCUGUCUCCAAGCCGGCCAUACAACAUGGAAAUCAAAUAGAUAGGCGAAGCAACCAAUAGCAGUCUGUUCUCGCCUAUCGAUAGAUAGCAGGUUGCUUCCAAGCUCAAACCAUGAUCAACUGCAUUUUUGCUUGUUGUUAUUAAUGGAGUGGUAUUCUCCCCCCUGUCAAAUAAAAAGAUAACUGGAAGAGAGAAGAAAAGAGCAAACAAAGGAUUUACAAGUCACAUGGGAGAAGAACGUUGAACUGCAUCUUCAACUAUAAAAUAAAACCCCCGGGGCACCGAAGCCUCCCGCGGCAAGCGAGAUAAAGAAAGCAGCUGGACUGCCUUGCCGCGGGAGAGUCUUUCUCCAAUGAGAGAAGGUUUUGGGCAAGACAAAAGACAGGACUCGCCCUUUGACACCAGGGAUAAGAGCAGAUUGCUGGCGAUGACUUGGUGGAAUCCUUGAGAGAAGGUUAUCGAACCUAUAGACUCUACGACUUCGUGGAGACCGAAUAGAGCCCUUUAAGCGAGAGGGCCAUGCUGUUGGCGUCUUACCUACAAGGCAAGAUAAAGGCGGGGGCGGGCGGGAUCAAGCUUGAAAGAAUGGACGGGCCUAGGCUUGAUAGUGAAGGCAGACCCCCUUCAAAAUCAUCGUGUCUGGUGCUAUCUCCUUCAUAAGCUAUGAGGGUUCACCUUUAAUCAAACAUCUACUUGAUUCUCGUAUGGGUUAUCGAGUAAAAACGAAGAAUCAAGCUGAUUGUUGAUUGUUGGAAACUCAUUAUGUGAAUCAAAGCAUUGAAACGAAGAAAAAUAAGUUUCUAGGGUUUAGAAUCAGUAAAUAUUCAAAGCCUUAAACUUUUAGAUGACCCACAUAGCUUAUUUAUAUGUUUAGAAGACUUAGAAGUAGACUAGGAUUGAAAAAGUACUUUUUAAAAACCUGUGUCAUCCUCAGAGACCGGUCCUCUCGAGGAGACCGGUCUGUGAGAGACCGGUCUCUCAAGUGAGGAACCGGUCCCUCGCUGCGUGACCAAAAUCACAACGUUCGGGAACCGGUCUCUUAAGCUUGAGACCGGUCCCUUGCUGCGCGACAGAAAUACCAAGGUUCGGGAACCGGUCUCCCAUCACAGGGGACCGGUUGCAUCAAGGUUCACGCAGUGAGGACCUUAGGGGAACCGGUCUCUUGAACUCUGAGACCGGUCCCAGAACACAGAAAAGUUCAGUAAAGUAGUUUUAACACCAUCUAAGCCUUCUGAACUUAUUCUAACUAGGUAUCUUCACCACAAAUGAUCUUUUCUUCAUACUUUAGGUGUCGAGCUUUCCGAAUGAGUCUUAUUUCUUCAAUUUGAAUCUUUUUUUUCAAAACUUCUGCGAUCAACUCUUCAAGACUCCAACCAACUUUACGAAAUUCGCCAAGCUAUAAAAUCCUUAACAAGGUCCCACAAGGGGGGUGCAGCCUCACCCAUCUUCAAAUGUAGGGUAUUCGUCACCCAGCUCUACUACUCACAGGUACCCCUAUAUAAAUGUUUGCGUCCUUGUGGACUCUUGCGCGACUCGGACAGCACCAUAAAUGCCAAAAUUUUCAUUAAUCUGGGAGGUCGAUGAUAUAAAAUGAGGAUCCCUUUGUGCGUAAGUGCCCUAUAAGCUAUAAGGGUGAGCAAUAUGUAUAAAUAAAAGGAAGGAAGCAUCCAGCAGGAAUCGAACCUACUUGCCCAGGUUAGGCGCUUAAACCAUUCAGCCAUGGAUGCCGAGCCGAGUGAACUAGGUUUUUUUUGUAUUCCUUCUCGAGCUUCUAUUUCUUCCGUUAAGGGAGAUUCGGGAAAAGAUGGAAUAGGAAGACGUGUUUCCAGAACGAACAAGAUACGGGUGGAGAAGGGGAAGUUAGCAAAGUUAGACAAGAUUGGAAUGGGCAUAGGAACAUGUAUUGAUGUACCAGAUCGGCUAAUGCUCCUAGAUUGAUGCGAUGUAUUCCACCAGUUGACUGGAGACUUUAUUAUUGGUAUAUCGAUCGGUCCAGCACGGAUUGAAAUAGGAGCCGAUUCGACAGGAAGCUUUUGAAAACGCAGUGCACCCAGGUAAAUAAGGAACAAGAUGAAUACAGAAGUUAAACGAGCAUCCCACACCCGAAAGGUACCCCACAUAGGCCUUCCCCGAAACCCCCCAGUUACUAAGGUAAACAAAGUAGAAAAAGCACCAAUUUCUGUACCGGUUCCGGAAGAGCGAAGAAAAAGGGGAUGCUUUGUUAAUGGGAACAAGGAACUGUUAAUAGCCGUUGCGAUAUAAAUAACUAUACUCAUCCGAGCCGCAGGAACAUGUACAUACAGAAUACGAGAAUUUCCACCUUGUUGAAGAUCUGGUGGUGCUACCCGAAGACUUAAAUGAAUAGCCAUCGCUGUUAAGAACAACCGAGAUCCAAUGAGAAUUUGCGCGUAGCUUUUUGUCUUUGACAUAAAAAAAGAAGGUUGUAAUAACGAAACAGACAUUUGAUAAUUUUGUCCUUGCCUUGCCAGUGGAACAAGAAAGACUAUAUAGAUUUUGAUAUGAAAUACACAAUCAAAGGAUUUCGCAUUCCAUAGAAUGACAGAAUUUCCCUUGCUUAGUUUUCGCUCUCCCCCUACUAAAAUCCGGAGAAGAACUCCUUCACUAAGG